UAUAUAAUUCCUCAUAUAUUUUUUACUAUUAUUCUCCCUCCUGGCUCUACUCACUGGUCGUCACGCUUCAGGGGAUAUAGAGAGAACGUUAACCUUGCCGUGAGAAGCCGUUACUCGCUACCGUGCGCUCUUCUUCUCUCUCAAACACAACACAGGAUUGAGAAUUGAGAUGAUGGGGAAGUGGAAGAACGAAUCGAGGGCAUAAAGGAACCGUUUCAAUUUCCCUAAAUUCUGUUAGGGCUGCCAAAAUGGAGGGGGAAGAGAUUAGGUCUGGGACCAAGAAGAAGAGAUCCAAGCCUCUUGAAAUUGGUUUUGAUUCCGAUGACGAUGAGCCGAUUGGGUCCUUGUUCAAGCUCAAGAGGUCCAGGAAGAAGGUUAGUUUGGCAUGUGGAGGUGCUGAUUCUGUUAAGGAAGGUGAAGAUUUAGGGUGUAUGGAUGAUACCUUGGCUAGUUUCAGGAAGAGGUUGAAGGGUCCUAAGAGAGAUCAGGGAUCUGAACCCACACCCACACCCGCACCCGCAUCUGCUUUGAAUGUUUCUCGCGAGGGUCAUGAUGAUGAGGGUUUGGUUUCUGGGGGAUCCAGGGAUGGCAAGCAGCUGCAGCAUUCUUCUGAUCAGGAUAAGGAAGGUUCCUUGUCUGAGAUUUUCCAUAAGGCGGGACAAUCUAAUUCGAUUAGGAAAACCCGUGUUUCGUCAGGUUCUACAAAGCAGAAAAGAGGGGUUCAGAAUGUGGAUAGUGGGUUGAGCACGUGCUCGGAAGGUUUUACAGAAACUGUGGAUUCUGUGGUUGAAAGUAGAUCUAGAUCUUCUUCUGCCUUGAAAUUAGGUAAGAGGAAUGUGAAGUCUGCUCCGUUUUCUUCAGUACCUGCGGUGGAUGAUCAAAAGGGUGUUGAUGACUGUUUUCAAGAGGAAUCUGCCCAGAGAACAUGCAAUUCAGACAUUCCAGAUGUACCAUUAGUUGAUCACUCUCAGUCUAUCAAUGUCUGUGAUGGAGAUAGGCAACAAGUGUCUGGUAUACAAGUUGAAGAUAUUUGUUGCGCUUCUGACCAAAAGGCUGCAUUGCAAGAAAGAGUUUGUAAUGAUGGUUUGAAUCAUUGUUCUGCUGUGGUAGAGGAUCUUGAAGUAAUUGGUACUGCAUCUCCAUCUAAAGUGGCGGAAGGGGCAUGUGGAUUUACUGAGGCUGGAGAGCUUGAGAAUAGGUUGACUGAUGAAAUAGCAGAAGUGUAUAAUGGUGCUUCAGAAUGUGGUGCUGUUUGUACUUCUACCGUGAAAGAAGAUUUCGUAACUCGUCACAAUGAGCCCUUGAUUGAAGCAACUGAAAAACCGGAAACUGAGUUUGUACCUAGUAGUUUGGAUGCAAAUGCUGAAUUGCAAAAACAUGAAGCAACUGCCAGUCGUAAUCUAUCUUCAGUGGUGCCUAAUGAAGCCAAUGAAUCUGAAAUGGCUGUCCAGUCAAAUAACCCAGAGGAACCUUUAGUAACGUGCAAUAUUCCAAAAUACUCUACCGCUUCAAUUCCAAAAUGCAGCUCAGUCUUAGAUCCAAUUCAAUCUGAUGGAUCCUCGAUUCAAUCUUCAAUCCCAGAUGAAAAUGGAAAAACUGCAGAAUUUCACGCCCCUGUGUCUGAUUUCGCUGAUGAUGAUGGUAAGACAUCAGGCAUUCCUCGUGUGAUGAGAAAGGCCAAAGUUCGUAAGCAUGAAGACAUGACUUAUGAGGGGGAUGCUGAUUGGGAGAUUCUAAUGAAUGAUAGAGCUCAAAAUGAAAGCCAAGUUGUUGGCGAUGGUGAACACACUCUUAGAACUAGAUUGAAGCAUAAUUCCUCUUUGAAUGCUGUUGAAGACUCUGAAAAUGUUGCAGCAGUAGCAGUAUCUGCUGGAUUGAAAGCCCGUGCAAUCAGUCCAAUUGAGAAAAUAAAAUUUAAGGAGAUCUUGAAACGCAAAGGUGGUCUCAAGGAAUAUUUGGAUUGCAGGAAUCAGAUCUUAAGUCUAUGGAGCAGAGAUGUCACGCGUAUUUUGCCUCUUGCUGACUGUGGAGUUUGUGAUAUUCGUUCUGAGGAUGAAAGUCCUCGAUCUUCUCUUAUUAGAGAGGUCUAUGCCUUUCUCGAUCAAUAUGGUUAUAUAAAUGUUGGAAUUGCCUCUCAUAAGGAGAACGUUGGAAAUAGUGCAAGGUAUAAACUUCUAAAAGAAAAAGGUUUUGAAGAAAGUUCCACAGCUUCAUUGGCUGACUCGGAAGAUGGAGUUUCCUUUAUUGUUGGUCAAACUAAAAUGUCAGAGACUAUUGUGGAGAUUAAUGAUGGUCUUACAAAGGCUUAUGAAGACCUGACAAUUGAAGCGACAGAAGGCACAAAGCAUGUUUGUGAAGCAAUGAUGGAUUUAUCAAAUGUGACGCACCAUGAUGAAAGAAAAAAAAUUGAUUACCAAGAAAAUGUUGGGAUUCCAGACGGAGUUAGUGGAACUGUACAUGUCAAUAUUAACAGUUCUGUUUCUCCAUCCAAGUUUCCUGAUUGCAGAUUGGCUUCUCUUGCGGCUACAGAGCAAAGCAAUGAAUCUACCUGUGUUAAAUCUUACUUAGGUGAUCAGAUAGGUGAUCGUCUGCAGUCUGAAAUAGAUGUUAGAAAGAGAGUGAUUGUGAUUGGAGCUGGCCCAGCUGGGCUAACUGCUGCUCGCCACUUACAACGUCAGGGAUUUCCUGUAACUGUACUUGAGGCUAGGAAUAGGAUAGGGGGUCGUGUAUUUACCGAUCGCUCAUCUCUUUCUGUCCCUGUGGAUCUUGGUGCUAGCAUUAUCACUGGUGUUGAGGCUGAUGUGGCCACUGAGAGAAGACCAGAUCCUUCCUCAUUGGUUUGUGCUCAGCUGGGCCUUGAGUUGACAGUAUUAAACAGUGACUGCCCUCUUCAUGACAUAGUGACAGGACAAAAAGUUCCCGCAGAUAUGGAUGAAGCAUUGGAAGCUGAAUACAAUAGUCUUCUUGAUGACAUGGUACUUGUUGUAGCUCAGAAAGGUGAGCAAGCAAUGAGAAUGUCUCUUGAAGAUGGUUUAGAAUAUGUCCUUAAGAUUCGCCGUACAGGACACUCUGAAAGUAGUGAAGAAACUAAACAAAAUGUUUCAGCAGAUAGUCCAUUUGAUUCCAAAAAGAAGGAUGCCAUGGAACAAAAAUUCGAUGAGGAGAUUUUGAGUCCUCAGGAGAGGAGGGUUAUGGAUUGGCACUAUGCUCAUUUAGAGUAUGGUUGUGCUGCUUUGCUUGAGGAAGUUUCUCUUCCCUACUGGAAUCAAGAUGAUGUGUAUGGAGGAUUUGGGGGAGCUCAUUGUAUGAUUAAAGGAGGUUACAGUACUGUAGUUGAGUCUCUAGGAGAAGGGCUUGCUAUUCACUUGAACCAUGUUGUAACUAAUGUGUCAUAUGGUAUCAAGGAACCUGGCCAUAAUAAUAAAGUGAAAGUUUCUACAUCAAAUGGCAAUGAAUUUUUUGGAGAUGCUGUCCUCAUUACUGUUCCACUUGGUUGUAUGAAGGCUGAAACUAUACAAUUCUCCCCCCCUUUACCACCGUGGAAAUGUUCUUCUAUUCAGCGUCUUGGUUUUGGAGUUCUCAAUAAAGUGGUUUUGGAAUUUCCUACUGUGUUUUGGGAUGAUGCUGUAGACUACUUUGGAGCAACAGCUGAGGAGAGAAGCAGAAGAGGUCACUGUUUUAUGUUCUGGAAUGUCAGGAAAACUGCUGGGGCUCCUGUCCUUAUAGCAUUAGUGGUUGGUAAGGCAGCCAGAGAUAGUCAUAGUUUAAGCUCUUCUGAUCACGUCAACCAUGCAUUGAAGGUUCUCCGUAAACUUUUUGGGGAGGGUUCAGUUCCUGAUCCUGUUGCAUAUGUUGUGACUGAUUGGGGUAGGGAUCCUUAUAGCUUUGGUGCUUACUCUUAUGUUGCUGUUGGAGCAUCAGGAGAAGACUAUGAUAUAAUAGGAAGGCCAGUGGAUAACAGCUUGUUUUUUGCUGGUGAAGCAACCUGCAAGGAGCACCCUGAUACUGUUGGUGGUGCGAUGAUGAGUGGACUGCGGGAGGCUGUUCGCAUAAUUGACAUAUUGAACACUGGAAAUGAUUUUACUGCCGAGGUGGAGGCACUGGAAGCUGCACGGGAACAGUUAGACCCUGAAAGGGAUGAAGUUAGGGACAUAAUAAAGAGACUUAAUGCAGUUGAGCUUUCUAACAUAAUGUACAAGAACUCUUUAGAUGGUGCUCAAAUCCUAACGCGGGAAGCUUUAUUAAGGGAAAUGUUCCUCAAUGUGAAAACCAAUGCCGGGCGCUUGCAUGUGGCCAAACAAUUGCUAAGUCUUCCUAUUGGAAACUUGAAGUCCUUUGCUGGAAGUAAAGAGGGGCUAACCAUUCUGAACUCAUGGAUACUGGACUCAUUGGGGAAGGAUGCUACCCAACUCUUGAGACACUGUUUGCGAAUUCUUGUGCGCGUGUCAACGGAUCUAGUUGCUGUUCGCUUAUCAGGAAUGGGGAAAACCGUGAAGGAAAAAGUUUGUGUACAUACUAGCCGUGACAUUCGUGCUAUAGCAAGCCAGUUGGUCAAUGUAUGGCUUGAAGUUUUCCGCAAGGGAAAAGGUUCUAAUGGGGGGUUAAAGUUGUCGAGGCAAGCAUGUACUGUAGAUUUAUCAAAGAGAAAAUCUAUAAAAGAUUCAGCCUCAGGAAAGCCUCCCAUGGGCACACAUCAGGGUAUCGUUGAGAAUAAAGGAAGCUUGCUAAAUCCUGUGUCUGCUGGAAGUAAUUCACCUUCCACCACACACAUGAAGAAGUUACAAAGCAAACAAGCAAAACAACCAGCAGCAUAUGACUCAAGGCACGAGGUCAGUUCUUCCAGGUCUCUAGGUUCAAUAGACAAAGUUGUUUCUGAGAAGGAAGAUAACCACUAUGUUAUUUCUGAAGAAGAAAAGGCUGCUGUUGCUGCUGCAGAAGCUGCCCGUGCUAAAGCACUUGCUGCUGCAGAGGCAUAUGCCUCUGCAGAAGCCAGGUGCAAUAAGCUGUUGCAGCUUCCAAAGAUACCUUCAUUCCACAAAUUUGCUAGACGGGAGCAAUAUCCACCAAAUGAUGAGUGUGAUAGUAGACAGAAGUGGUCUGGUGGUGUUUCUGGAAGGCAAGAUUGUUUUUCAGAGAUUGAUUCUAGGAAUUGCAGAGUUAGGGACUGGUCUGUUGAUUUCUCUGCUGCUUGUGUUAACCUUGAUAAUACCAGAAUGCCUGUUGAUAACCUUUCACUGAGGAGUCAUUCAAAUGAGAUUGCCAGCCAUUUGAAUUUCAGAGAGCACUCAGGAGAAAGUGCUGCUGUCGACAGCAAUAUAUAUACAAAAGCUUGGAUUGACACAGAUGGUGGCGAGGGAAUAAAAGACCAUCAUGCCAUUGAGAGAUGGCAGUCUCAAGCAGCAGCAGCUGAUUCUUAUUUUUCGAAUCCAACCAUUCACUUGAAGGAUGAAGAGGAUUCAAAUACCUAUUCAAGGUUAACUAGCUGGCCUGAUGGUAUGGCAAAUGAGAGCUCUAUUUCACAGGUUACUGUAAAUAAGGAGGCCUUAAAAGGUCAUUCUCGAGGGGCAGAUCAUAUUAAACAGGCUGUUGUCGACUAUGUUGCAUCGCUUCUUAUGCCCCUUUAUAAGGCAAGGAAACUAGACAAGGAUGGAUACAAGGCUAUCAUGAAGAAAAGUGCAACAAAGGUCAUGGAGCAAGCAACAGAUUCAGAAAAAUCGAUGACCGUUUUUGAGUUUCUAGAUUUCAAGCGAAAAAAUAAGAUUCGCUCCUUUGUGGAUCUAUUAAUUGAGAGACAUAUGGCUUCGAGACCAGACAAGAAGUCUUAAUUUCUUUCUAUGGAAUUGACUGUUUUUUGUACCUCUCUGUAAGGGUUGCCCAAAUCUAGUUCUUCCUACAGUUCUCACCGUUUUUGUGGCAGUGGGCAUUUUCUCAUAUGAGCAUCUCAAUCUGCCUAUAUAAAUGAUUUAGAAGCUGCAAUUACAGAAACAGAUAGGACUUGAUGGAUCAAAAUCAAGUGAGCUCUAUGGUACUAGAUACUAGUGGUGGUUACCGGUAAACAGGCUUUACUACCUCUGUAAACAGACUCUGCAAAUACAAGUUAGAUCUUCUUGGUGACCGGCAUAAGCAGGCUAAUAAAGAUUAUGUCACCAGAGAUGGGCGGUAAUACUUGCUUCCCAUUGAUUUUGGUGUAUUUUGCAACUCUUCGCAGCUGAUUUUCAAGACCGUCUUCAUGGCAGCAGUGUGUAAUAUUGGAUUGAAAAAUAUCACUGCCAGGGAAAUAAAUUCCAUUGGCUGUGUCUUGGGUUUAAGGCGAGUUUGUAUUUACGUUCACUUCAGCUGAACAUCAACGGAGCCAAGAAGCUUAUUCCCUGUUGUAUGUUUCGGGAUGUGAGAUUUGGGUUUCUGAGUUAGCAAACGAAACAACGAGCGUAGAAACAAUCGGAUUCGGACAUGCGCUCUUAAAGAGUCCACGACAUUCCACAUCCCCCGUCAAGGAACCAGGAACUGAGAACUGACGAUGUUCCAAUUUCCUUACUAGUAUCCAAAUCCCCAAACCCAAGGCUUUCCUCUCACCACUUCGAAUCAAGUGACUAUGGCUCAAUAACCAAGGUGAACGUGUAGAGAUUAAGAACCCUAUAAGCGGCACGCUAAUUUGUCCCCCACUGCAUCAUCAAACCUGAAAUCAUUAGAUAUGGCAGCCCAGGUCGAAGACUAUACCAGACACUUAUGACAACUUUAGACCAUGUUAGCUCAAUAUCUAUUAAAAGAAAGUCGUUGAAGAACAAAAGGUUCCAGCCUAGAUGCACCCAAACAACGGAGUAGCUACCACAAAAUCGAAGACCCACUAAUCUGUCUUCCAAGAACCAUCACAUCAGAAAAUAUGGGUGAUUUGACCGGAUUGGUCCUAUCAGAAAAUAUGGGAAAUUCAAGUUUUGGAUUAUUUUUUUACUUCUAAAAUUUCAACUUCUAAAAGUGUAAACUUUUUAGAUUUCUAAAAAUUCAACCUAUAAAAAAAUAAAAAAAUUGCUUUUGUAA